AAAAAGCGUGCUACUCCCUGUACAGGGAAUGUCGAUUAAGGGAACUUCAUUCGACAAAAUUCCAUUAUUUGGAACACUUUGCACCGUCAGCAGUGUUACCCUGCUUUCCCUGUUAAACAAACAAACAUCAAAAUAUCAGGUCAGAAAAUGUUGAGACUCCGUCGAGUUCCGAUGCCUUUCUCCCCUCCGCGUCUCUGCACGCACUGAGCACAGCGGUGUAGCACAUGUUGAUCACAGACAUGCAGACAGCCGCAGAAGUGAAGCCCUCCCUCUCUUUCCAGUUGUUCUGGUGUCGAGAGCUCUACUGUGGAGGAUUGGGUCAGAGGAGUGACGGCCGGCCUAUUGAAGCUACAGGAGUAGCAUGAACAAGCUGUAGGAGGGGACUGUAGUCACUGUGGUCAUGCAAAUUUGCCUCUGCCCAGGAAGCCAUGGCUUGAUACUAGGAUUGCAGCACCUACAGCCCAUUUCCUGAUGACAUCUGUGUGUUGGCUCUUGACACACCUCUGAAAAAAUGUCACGUCAGCAGUAUUCCCCGGGUGCGUGAUGAAAUAACUUUUUUUUUUUUUUUUAAACAAAAUAUUUACAAAAGUUAAUAAAUGGCUGUCUGGUUUAACCUGGUCACACACAGCAGCAAAUAAAUCCACCCCUCCAUCAGUAUUUAAAUUAAGCCAUUGUCAAAUAAAUCAGCUUGUUAAUGGAACCUUGCAUGUUGUGCUGCAUAUCACCUGUUGUGCUUAAGAAUCAUUCCAAAAUUGUUUAUGGGUACUAAAAGUAAAAAGUCUUAUAAGAUUAUAAGAGACUGAACUCAAACACACUUUGACUCUUAGCAGAAUCACAUUUAAUCUGAUGUGUUUCCAGUAUCCCUUAUAUUACCCACCCUUCAAUCUCCGCCCCAUCCGCCAAAAAAACAAAAGCACAUCUGAUCAAAUAUUAUUAAAUGUCUAGUCACCUAGUCUAAAUAGCAUGUUUUUAGUUUAUUUCCUCAAUCACAUUACAUUUCCAGAUGGUACACAGCUCUGUAAUUUCUGUCCUGCAAAUUUCAUGGUAGAAUUUGUGAAGAAAAAAAUCCUUUUUUUCUGGGACCCUUCAUUUUUCUAUGUGUUUCUAGAAAAUAGAGGUUGGGUUAGCGUAUACAGACAAGGGCAUUGCUAUGUUUAAACGUGAGUAGUAUCCGUAAUUUACUGACAGAAUGUACCAAGAUUCCAUUGAUGGGUGGAGGUUAGGUCUGCAAAAUUAUUGUAAUCUUAGCAUCAUGUUAGCACAAAGUAAAAAUAAAUAAAUAAAUAAAUAAAUAAAUAAAUAAAAACCUACUGUAGCCACUACUUCUACGAUUUGGAUCCACUUCAUAGAUUGUGUUGUUUGAAAGAAUAUUCACAGUUGUACAAUGCAAACAAACCGGGAACUUGUUCUGCUUUGGAGCUACUAUUUCUUCAAAUGGUCCGCCUAAAUGGAACUACGAUAAUGAGCUAAUUGACACUGCCUGAUUCAGGAUAAAUUAUAUGAAGGAAGAACAGUUAAUAAAAGUGUAGCUACAUUGGUAGUACAACUUGU